rnacentral:rRNA from 1 species
AUACGUAGGGGGCGAGCGUUGUCCGGAAUUACUGGGCGUAAAGGGUGCGUAGGCGGAAUGUCAAGUCAGAUGUGAAAUACCCGGGCUUAACCCGGGGGCUGCAUUUGAAACUGACAUCCUUGAGUGCAGGAGAGGCAAGUGGAAUUCCUAGUGUAGCGGUGAAAUGCGUAGAUAUUAGGAGGAACACCGGUGGCGAAGGCGACUUGCUGGACUGUAACUGACGCUGAGGCACGAAAGCGUGGGGAGCAAACAGGAUUAGAUACCCUGGUAGUCCACGCCGUAAACGAUGGAUACUAGGUGUGGGGUCCGAUAGGAUUCCGUGCCGCAGCAAACGCAAUAAGUAUCCCGUCUGGGGAGUACGAUCGCAAGGUUGAAACUCAAAGGAAUUGACGGGG